rnacentral:rRNA from 1 species
CCGCCAGAGUAUUACNAGCAACAGCUUAAAACUCAAAGGACUUGGCGGUGCCCAAAUCCCUCCAGAGGAGCCUGUUCUAUAAUCGAUAACCCACGCUUAACCUCACCACCAUUCGACAACAUCAGCUUAUAUACCACCGUCACUCCGCCUGCCUUAUGAAAGAACCAUAGCAAGCAAAAACGAAACUUCCAAAUACGUCAGGUCAAGGUGUAGCAUAUGUGGUGGGAAGAAAUGGGCUACAUUUUCUUUUAAAGACCACACGAAUGGCAAAAUGAAACCAUACCUGAAGGCGGAUUUGGCAGUAAGAGUGGAUAAUAAUGCCACCCUUAACUACGGCCCUGGGGCGCGC